GAUGAACGCUGGCGGCGUGCCUAAUACAUGCAGGUCGAGCGAACAGACGAGGAGCUUGCUCCUCUGACGUUAGCGGCGGACGGGUGAGUAACACGUGGAUAACCUACCUAUAAGACUGGGAUAACUUCGGGAAACCGGAGCUAAUACCGGAUAAUAUAUUGAACCGCAUGGUUCAAUAGUGAAAGACGGUUUUGCUGUCACUUAUAGAUGGAUCCGCGCCGCAUUAGCUAGUUGGUAAGGUAACGGCUUACCAAGGCGACGAUGCGUAGCCGACCUGAGAGGGUGAUCGGCCACACUGGAACUGAGACACGGUCCAGACUCCUACGGGAGGCAGCAGUAGGGAAUCUUCCGCAAUGGGCGAAAGCCUGACGGAGCAACGCCGCGUGAGUGAUGAAGGUCUUCGGAUCGUAAAACUCUGUUAUUAGGGAAGAACAAAUGUGUAAGUAACUAUGCACGUCUUGACGGCACCUAAUCAGAAAGCCACGGCUAACUACGUG
rnacentral:rRNA from 1 species